rnacentral:lncRNA from 1 species
CUUGACUAUAAAUUAUUUUAUUAUAAUAUAUUACUUAUGGAUUGACUACUAAUUCUCAAGUUAGUGAUCGUGCUUGAUUUUGAAUUUAUAUAUAUUUUUUAUCCUAAAAUAAAUCAUAUCAUAAUUUAUUCUACAUUUUAUUGUAAUAAAAUAAAAGUGAAAAAAAUGAAUUAGAGUGGCUUAAAGAUAAAAAAAAGAGCGAUACUAACUAUCUACGAUGCUCGAACACUCUACUAUUCUGGUGUACUCGCUAAUAUGGUUGCCUCACUCGGAUAUAGAGAUUUUAAUUCUCAGUUAAUUUUCUGUAGUACUCGUUUGUCCCUUUUAUCUUUAGAAGCAUUGUUCUAUAAAAUACACUUAAAUAAAAUUUUUUUACUUCAUUUCAGCCAAUUAGAAAUUUUUAAUAUAAAAUAUAAAAAUAAUUUAUAGUAAAAAUUUGGGUAAAUUGUAUUGUUACCCCCUGAACUUUGGCGAGUUUCACUUAACCCCCAGACUCCUAAAAUAGACAUCUAACACCCUAAACUCUAAUAUUUCAUUCGUUUUACCCCUUCCGUCAGUUUCCGGUUAACGGAGCUUGACAGAAAACUGACGGAAUGGGUAAUAUGAACAAAAUAUUAGAGUUUAGGGGGUUAGAUGUCCAUUAUAGAAGUUUGAAGGGUAAAGUGAAACUUCGCCAAAAGUUUAGGGGAUAACAAUGCAAUUUACCC